AUUGAACGCUGGCGGCAGGCCUAACACAUGCAAGUCGAACGAGUGGCGGACGGGUGAGUAAUGUCUGGGAAACCGCCUGAUGGAGGGGGAUAACUACUGGAAACGGAAGCUAAUACCGCAUAACAUCAGAUGUGGCAAGUUGGGAUUAGAUAGUUGGUGGGGUAACGGCGCACCAAGGCGACGAUCCCUAGCUGGUCUGAGAGGAUGACCGGCGACACUGGGACUGAGACACGGUCCAGACUCCUACGGGAGGCAGCAGUGGGGAAUAUUGCACAAUGGGCGCAAGCCUGAUGCAGCCAUGCCGCGUGUAUGAAGAAGGCCUUCGGGUUGUAAAGUACUUUCAGCGGGGAGGCGUUACCCGCAGAAGAAGCACCGGCUAACUCCGUGCCAGCAGCCGCGGUAAUUC
rnacentral:rRNA from 1 species